AGCGAACGCUGGCGGCAGGCUUAACACAUGCAAGUCGAGCGGGCACUUCGGUGUCAGCGGCAGACGGGUGAGUAACACGUGGGAACGUACCCUUCGGUUCGGAAUAACGCUGGGAAACUAGCGCUAAUACCGGAUACGCCCUUUUGGGGAAAGGUUUACUGCCGAAGGAUCGGCCCGCGUCUGAUUAGCUAGUUGGUGGGGUAAUGGCCUAACAAGGCGACGAUCAGUAGCUGGUCUGAGAGGAUGAUCAGCCACACUGGGACUGAGACACGGCCCAGACUCCUACGGGAGGCAGCAGUGGGGAAUAUUGGACAAUGGGCGCAAGCCUGAUCCAGCCAUGCCGCGUGAGUGAUGAAGGCCUUAGGGUUGUAAAGCUCUUUUGUCCGGGACGAUAAUGACGGUACCGGAAGAAUAAGCCCCGGCUAACUUCGUG
rnacentral:rRNA from 1 species